GAUGAACGCUAGCUACAGGCUUAACACAUGCAAGUCGAGGGGCAGCAUGACGAUAGCUUGCUAUUGUUGAUGGCGACCGGCGCACGGGUGAGUAACGCGUAUCCAACCUGCCCUUGUCCACCGGAUAACCCGUCGAAAGGCGGACUAACACGGUAUGCAGUCCACAGCAGACAUCUAACGUGGUCGAAAUGUGAGGGAGAGGAAGGGGGAUGCGUCUGAUUAGCUUGUUGGCGGGGUAACGGCCCACCAAGGCGACGAUCAGUAGGGGUUCUGAGAGGAAGGUCCCCCACAUUGGAACUGAGACACGGUCCAAACUCCUACGGGAGGCAGCAGUGAGGAAUAUUGGUCAAUGGGCGAGAGCCUGAACCAGCCAAGUAGCGUGCAGGAAGACGGCCCUAUGGGUUGUAAACUGCUUUUAUACGGGGAUAAAGUGAGUCACGUGUGGCUUAUUGCAGGUACCGUAUGAAUAAGGACCGGCUAAUUCCGUGCCAGCCGCCGCUGUAA
rnacentral:rRNA from 1 species